rnacentral:rRNA from 1 species
UACGUAGGGUGCAAGCGUUGUCCGGAAUUAUUGGGCGUAAAGAGCUCGUAGGCGGUUUGUCGCGUCUGCUGUGAAAACUCGGGGCUUAACCCCGGGCCUGCAGUGGGUACGGGCAGACUAGAGUGCGGUAGGGGAGACUGGAAUUCCUGGUGUAGCGGUGAAAUGCGCAGAUAUCAGGAGGAACACCGGUGGCGAAGGCGGGUCUCUGGGCCGUAACUGGACGCUGAGGAGCGAAAGCCAGGGGAGCGAACGGG